AUUGAACGCUGGCGGCAGGCCUAACACAUGCAAGUCGAGCGGCAGCGGGGGGAAGCUUGCUUCCUCGCCGGCGAGCGGCGGACGGGUGAGUAAUGUCUGGGAAACUGCCCGAUGGAGGGGGAUAACUACUGGAAACGGUAGCUAAUACCGCAUAACGUCGCAAGACCAAAGUGGGGGACCUUCGGGCCUCAUGCCAUCAGAUGUGCCCAGAUGGGAUUAGCUAGUAGGUGGGGUAAUGGCUCACCUAGGCGACGAUCCCUAGCUGGUCUGAGAGGAUGACCAGCCACACUGGAACUGAGACACGGUCCAGACUCCUACGGGAGGCAGCAGUGGGGAAUAUUGCACAAUGGGCGCAAGCCUGAUGCAGCCAUGCCGCGUGUAUGAAGAAGGCCUUCGGGUUGUAAAGUACUUUCAGCGAGGAGGAAGGCAUUAAGGUUAAUAACCUUGGUGAUUGACGUUACUCGCAGAAGAAGCACCGGCUAACUCCGUGCCAGCAGCCGCCGUAACAC
rnacentral:rRNA from 1 species